GAUGAAGAACGCAGCGAAAUGCGAUAAGUAAUGUGAAUUGCAGAAUUCAGUGAACCAUCGAAUCUUUGAACGCACAUUGCGCCCGGCAGUAAUCUGCUGGGCAUGCCUGUCCGAGCGUCAUUUCUGCCCUCGAGCGAGUCCAGCAUCUAGGUGCUGGGCCCGCCCGGCGUUGGGGCACUACGGGGAGCCCUGUGCUGUCCCCCGUAGGCCCCGAAAUGAAGUGGCGGUCCUGCCGCGGCGCCCCCUGCGUAGUAUAACAGCUCGCUUCGGGACCCGGUGGAGGCCUGCCGUCAAACCUUACUCUCUAAGUUUGACCUCGGAUCAGGUAGGGUUACCCGCUGAACUUAAGCAUAUCAAUAAGCGGAGGA
rnacentral:misc_RNA from 1 species